CGGGGUGAGUAAUGCUUGGGAAUCUGGCUUAUGGAGGGGGAUAACUACGGGAAACUGUAGCUAAUACCGCGUAGUGUCGAGAGACGAAAGUGCGGGACCGAAAGGCCGCAUGCCAUGAGAUGAGCCCAAGUGGGAUUAGGUAGUUGGUGGGGUAAAGGCCUACCAAGCCUGCGAUCUCUAGCUGGUCUGAGAGGAUGGCCAGCUACACUGGAACUGAGACACGGUCCAG
rnacentral:rRNA from 1 species